rnacentral:ncRNA from 1 species
GUCAACUACCCCGCCCUAAAGGACGGAGCUUGCAAGAGCUAGGUUGACCAGACUCAGUGCCGACGCGCUACCCCUCCCCGACCUGAAGGACGGGGUAUCUCGCGCAAGAUGGAUGAAAGGAGAAUUCUGCAAAGGGAUACUCUAUGUCAAUGCGAGUCCUUCAAUGGUAGACAUA